CACUCCUACGGGAGGCAGCAGUGGGGAAUAUUGCACAAUGGGCGCAAGCCUGAUGCAGCCAUGCCGCGUGUAUGAAGAAGGCCUUCGGGUUGUAAAGUACUUUCAGCGGGGAGGAAGGUGUUGAGGUUAAUAACCUCAGCAAUUGACGUUACCCGCAGAAGAAGCACCGGCUAACUCCGUGCCAGCAGCCGCGGUAAUACGGAGGGUGCAAGCGUUAAUCGGAAUUACUGGGCGUAAAGCGCACGCAGGCGGUCUGUCAAGUCGGAUGUGAAAUCCCCGGGCUCAACCUGGGAACUGCAUUCGAAACUGGCAGGCUAGAGUCUUGUAGAGGGGGGUAGAAUUCCAGGUGUAGCGGUGAAAUGCGUAGAGAUCUGGAGGAAUACCGGUGGCGAAGGCGGCCCCCUGGACAAAGACUGACGCUCAGGUGCGAAAGCGUGGGGAGCAAACAGGAUUAGAAACCCUUGUAGUCC
rnacentral:rRNA from 1 species